GAAAGGGGAACAGAUUUCCAGGUCAGUUCCUCAAAGUUUCUCUGAACCUUCAACCUCCAGGAGCCCCACUUCCUGUCAACCAAGGAGAGAAAAGAAGUCUCCUGCUACUGCAGCUAAUCAUGAUAAGCAGACAUAUCAGACUUUGAAAAAACUUGGAAAGACUUACAUAAACUGAUGCAAAGUGAAGCGAGAACCAGAAGAACGUCGCACACAGUAACAGCAAUAUCAUACAAUGAACAACUAUGAAUGGUCUCAUUAUUCUCAGCAAUACAGUGAUCCAAGGGAAUCUUGGAGAACUGAUGGAGUCUGAAUGCAGAUCAAAUAUAUUAUAUUUCACUUUCUUUUUUUGAGGCCUCUUCCACAAAUUGACUCAUGGAAAAAUGUAAAAUCUAUAUCAGAUUUCUAACUGUCUCAGAGAGGGGAUGAAUUUGUAAUUUAAAUUUUUUUUAAAUUUACAAUUAAAAAAAGAAUGUUAAUAGUUAUUUUUACAGGUAACUGGAGAAAAAAUAAAAUAUUAAAAAUAGUGAUAUCA
rnacentral:lncRNA from 1 species